AUGGCAGGCCUCACGACAUGGACAAUUUGGCGCCAUCGCAACUCCGUCAUCUUCGACAAGAUCUCUCACGCCACAUCAAUGGUCGUUGAUGCUAUCAAGGAAGAGGCUCGCUCCUGGGCAAGUGCCGGAGCCAAAGGACUGAAAGAUUUUAUCCUCUACAACCUGACUUUGUUUGCGUGGCUGAGCAUCCUCUUCUCUUUCUGCUCGCUGGAUUGCCAUGGACACGCCUGUUAG
rnacentral:rRNA from 1 species